GAUUGCGGACGGGUGAGUAAUGCCUAGGAAUCUGCCUGGUAGUGGGGGAUAACGUCCGGAAACGGGCGCUAAUACCGCAUACGUCCUGAGGGAGAAAGUGGGGGAUCUUCGGACCUCACGCUAUCAGAUGAGCCUAGGUCGGAUUAGCUAGUUGGUGGGGUAAAGGCCUACCAAGGCGACGAUCCGUAACUGGUCUGAGAGGAUGAUCAGUCACACUGGAACUGAGACACGGUCCAGACUCCUACGGGAGGCAGCAGUGGGGAAUAUUGGACAAUGGGCGAAAGCCUGAUCCAGCCAUGCCGCGUGUGUGAAGAAGGUCUUCGGAUCGUAAAGCACUUUAAGUUGGGAGGAAGGGCAGUAAGUUAAUACCUUGCUGUUUUGACGUUACCAACAGAAUAAGCACCGGCUAACUUCGUGCCAGCAGCCGCGGUAAUAAU
rnacentral:rRNA from 1 species